CAGCCGCUCAGUCCGUUUUCUUUCUUUCCCUUCUUCGAUUACUAACCUAAAACACCAUGGCCACCAUCAUUUUGAUCCCUGAUUUAGAACACAAAAGACCCCAAUACCAUUAUUUUAACUAUAAGACUUUAAACCGCAACCUCCGAUCGUCAAGACUCCCUUUAAUGAAGAAAACGAAGGGCUUUUUUUAAGGUGAGGAUGAGUUUUCGGUGAUGAAGGAUGCCCAGCUUUAACUCUAAAGUUUCAACCUCUCUACUACAAGUGAAGAGCCCUAAAUGACUAAGAUUGGCUCCAACAGCAGCGAUAGCUUGAGAUGUUGGCGAUAGCUUGAGAUGUUGGAGUGAUUGGCUGCCGCUCAUACACAUGGAUAGGAACAACUCCUAUGCUUAAACUGAUUUACUUGUAAUUAUUAUGGGGUUGUUAGAUUUUUAUUGGAUUCGCAUUGGGCUCCGAGAUUGCUU